CCUGCGGGUGGCAGCAGUGGGGAAUAUUGGACAAUGGGCGAAAGCCUGAUCCAGCCAUGCCGCGUGUGUGAAGAAGGCCUUCGGGUUGUAAAGCACUUUCAGUGGGGAAGAAAGCCUUGGGGCUAAUACCCUCGAGGAAGGACAUCACCCACAGAAGAAGCACCGGCUAACUCCGUGCCAGCAGCCGCGGUAAUACGGAGGGUGCGAGCGUUAAUCGGAAUUACUGGGCGUAAAGCGCGCGUAGGCGGUCUGAUAAGCCGGUUGUGAAAGCCCCGGGCUCAACCUGGGAACGGCAUCCGGAACUGUCAGGCUAGAGUGCAGGAGAGGAAGGUAGAAUUCCCGGUGUAGCGGUGAAAUGCGUAGAGAUCGGGAGGAAUACCAGUGGCGAAGGCGGCCUUCUGGACUGACACUGACGCUGAGGUGCGAAAGCGUGGGUAGCAAACAGGAUUAGAUACCCCUGUAGUC
rnacentral:rRNA from 1 species